CGAAGAGGCAUCCAGGGGGUUUUCGAACCGAUAGAGGUUCGACGGCGCAGCGAAAGCUGCGACGAACAACACGCAAGGCGUGUUGGCCCGAAGGGUGAAGCGCUAAGCGCUGAAUAAUCCUCCUCCCUCCACCA
rnacentral:sRNA from 1 species